rnacentral:rRNA from 1 species
UACAGAGGGUGCAAGCGUUGUUCGGAAUUAUUGGGCGUAAAGCGCGUGUAGGCGGCUUUGCAAGUCGGGUGUGAAAGCCCUCAGCUUAACUGAGGAAGUGCGCCCGAAACUGCAGAGCUUGAGUACCGGAGAGGAUGGUGGAAUUCCCCAAGUAGAGGUGAAAUUCGUAGAUAUGGGGAGGAACACCGGUGGCGAAGGCGACCAUCUGGACAGUGACUGACGCUGAGAUGCGAAAGCGUGGGGAGCAAACAGG